GUGCUGGUAGCUCAAUUGGAUAGAGCAAAGGCCUACGGAGCCUUAGGUUGGGGGUUCGAAUCCUCUCCAGCACGCCA
rnacentral:tRNA from 1 species